rnacentral:rRNA from 1 species
CAGCCGCCGCGGGAAUACGUAGGGUGCAAGCGUUAUCCGGAAUUAUUGGGCGUAAAGAGCUCGUAGGCGGUUUGUCGCGUCUGCUGUGAAAACUGGAGGCUCAACCUCCAGCCUGCAGUGGGUACGGGCAGACUAGAGUGCGGUAGGGGAGAUUGGAAUUCCUGGUGUAGCGGUGGAAUGCGCAGAUAUCAGGAGGAACACCGAUGGCGAAGGCAGAUCUCUGGGCCGUAACUGACGCUGAGGAGCGAAAGCGUGGGGAGCGAACAGGAUUAGAUACCCCUGUAGUCCCUGUCUCUUAUAC